rnacentral:rRNA from 1 species
GNNNAAGUUAUUAAGGGCGCACGGUGGAUGCCUUGGCACUAGAAGCCGAUGAAGGACGUUACUAACGACGAUAUGCUUUGGGGAGCUGUAAGUAAGCUUUGAUCCAGAGAUUUCCGAAUGGGGAAACCCAGCAUGAGUUAUGUCAUGUUAUCGAUAUGUGAAUACAUAGCAUAUCAGAAGGCACACCCGGAGAACUGAAACAUCUUAGUACCCGGAGGAAGAGAAAGAAAAUUCGAUUCCCUUAGUAGCGGCGAGCGAAACGGGAAGAGCCCAAACCAACAAGCUUGCUUGUUGGGGUUGUAGGACACUCUAUACGGAGUUACAAAGGACGACAUUAGACGAAUCAUCUGGAAAGAUGAAUCAAAGAAGGUAAUAAUCCUGUAGUCGAAAAUGUUGUCUCUCUUGAGUGGAUCCUGAGUACGACGGAGCACGUGAAAUUCCGUCGGAAUCUGGGAGGACCAUCUCCUAAGGCUAAAUACUCUCUAGUGACCGAUAGUGAACCAGUACCGUGAGGGAAAGGUGAAAAGCACCCCGGAAGGGGAGUGAAAUAGAACCUGAAACCGUGUGCUUACAAGUAGUCAGAGCCCGUUAAUGGGUGAUGGCGUGCCUUUUGUAGAAUGAACCGGCGAGUUACGAUUUGAUGCAAGGUUAAGCAGUAAAUGUGGAGCCGUAGCGAAAGCGAGUCUGAAUAGGGCGUUUAGUAUUUGGUCGUAGACCCGAAACCAGGUGAUCUACCCUUGGUCAGGUUGAAGUUCAGGUAACACUGAAUGGAGGACCGAACCGACUUACGUUGAAAAGUGAGCGGAUGAACUGAGGGUAGCGGAGAAAUUCCAAUCGAACCUGGAGAUAGCUGGUUCUCUCCGAAAUAGCUUUAGGGCUAGCCUCAAGUGAUGAUUAUUGGAGGUAGAGCACUGUUUGGACGAGGGGCCCCUCUCGGGUUACCGAAUUCAGACAAACUCCGAAUGCCAAUUAAUUUAACUUGGGAGUCAGAACAUGGGUGAUAAGGUCCGUGUUCGAAAGGGAAACAGCCCAGACCACCAGCUAAGGUCCCAAAAUAUAUGUUAAGUGGAAAAGGAUGUGGCGUUGCCCAGACAACUAGGAUGUUGGCUUAGAAGCAGCCAUCAUUUAAAGAGUGCGUAAUAGCUCACUAGUCGAGUGACACUGCGCCGAAAAUGUACCGGGGCUAAACAUAUUACCGAAGCUGUGGAUUGUCCUUUGGACAAUGGUAGGAGAGCGUUCUAAGGGCGUUGAAGCAUGAUCGUAAGGACAUGUGGAGCGCUUAGAAGUGAGAAUGCCGGUGUGAGUAGCGAAAGACGGGUGAGAAUCCCGUCCACCGAUUGACUAAGGUUUCCAGAGGAAGGCUCGUCCGCUCUGGGUUAGUCGGGUCCUAAGCUGAGGCCGACAGGCGUAGGCGAUGGAUAACAGGUUGAUAUUCCUGUACCACCUAUAAUCGUUUUAAUCGAUGGGGGGACGCAGUAGGAUAGGCGAAGCGUGCGAUUGGAUUGCACGUCUAAGCAGUAAGGCUGAGUAUUAGGCAAAUCCGGUACUCGUUAAGGCUGAGCUGUGAUGGGGAGAAGACAUUGUGUCUUCGAGUCGUUGAUUUCACACUGCCGAGAAAAGCCUCUAGAUAGAAAAUAGGUGCCCGUACCGCAAACCGACACAGGUAGUCAAGAUGAGAAUUCUAAGGUGAGCGAGCGAACUCUCGUUAAGGAACUCGGCAAAAUGACCCCGUAACUUCGGGAGAAGGGGUGCUCUUUAGGGUUAACGCCCAGAAGAGCCGCAGUGAAUAGGCCCAAGCGACUGUUUAUCAAAAACACAGGUCUCUGCUAAACCGUAAGGUGAUGUAUAGGGGCUGACGCCUGCCCGGUGCUGGAAGGUUAAGAGGAGUGGUUAGCUUCUGCGAAGCUACGAAUCGAAGCCCCAGUAAACGGCGGCCGUAACUAUAACGGUCCUAAGGUAGCGAAAUUCCUUGUCGGGUAAGUUCCGACCCGCACGAAAGGCGUAACGAUUUGGGCACUGUCUCAACGAGAGACUCGGUGAAAUCAUAGUACCUGUGAAGAUGCAGGUUACCCGCGACAGGACGGAAAGACCCCGUGGAGCUUUACUGUAGCCUGAUAUUGAAAUUCGGCACAGCUUGUACAGGAUAGGUAGGAGCCUUUGAAACGUGAGCGCUAGCUUACGUGGAGGCGCUGGUGGGAUACUACCCUAGCUGUGUUGGCUUUCUAACCCGCACCACUUAUCGUGGUGGGAGACAGUGUCAGGCGGGCAGUUUGACUGGGGCGGUCGCCUCCUAAAAGGUAACGGAGGCGCUCAAAGGUUCCCUCAGAAUGGUUGGAAAUCAUUCAUAGAGUGUAAAGGCAUAAGGGAGCUUGACUGCGAGACCUACAAGUCGAGCAGGGUCGAAAGACGGACUUAGUGAUCCGGUGGUUCCGCAUGGAAGGGCCAUCGCUCAACGGAUAAAAGCUACCCCGGGGAUAACAGGCUUAUCUCCCCCAAGAGUUCACAUCGACGGGGAGGUUUGGCACCUCGAUGUCGGCUCAUCGCAUCCUGGGGCUGUAGUCGGUCCCAAGGGUUGGGCUGUUCGCCCAUUAAAGCGGUACGCGAGCUGGGUUCAGAACGUCGUGAGACAGUUCGGUCCCUAUCCGUCGUGGGCGUAGGAAAUUUGAGAGGAGCUGUCCUUAGUACGAGAGGACCGGGAUGGACAUACCUCUGGUGUACCAGUUGUCGUGCCAACGGCAUAGCUGGGUAGCUAUGUGUGGACGGGAUAAGUGCUGAAAGCAUCUAAGCAUGAAGCCCCCCUCAAGAUGAGAUUUCCCAACUUCGGUUAUAAGAUCCCUCAAAGAUGAUGAGGUUAAUAGGUUCGAGGUGGAAGCAUGGUGACAUGUGGAGCUGACGAAUACUAAUCGAUCGAAGACUUAAUCAA